AAGCGAAACCCGAAGAGUGUGAGUUCGAAAAAUGAGUUGACGUCGCCUGUUUUCCUCCCCUCUUCAUACGUGUGGUUUUUGUAUGCUUGGCGCGUAGAGUUGCCAAUUUACAGGAAAAGAUCGAAAAAUCGGGGAUCAGCAGUUUACAAAUACGUUUUAUUAUAUAUAAAGCUGAAAUAUUUGCAAAAUCAAAAAGGAAUAAAUUGAAAUGUUGUUAUAAGCUAAAGAAAUGAGUAGGUUU